UACGUAGGGUGCGAGCGUUAAUCGGAAUUACUGGGCGUAAAGCGUGCGCAGGCGGUUGUGCAAGACAGAUGUGAAAAUCCCCGGGCUUAACCUGGGAACUGCAUUUUGUGACUGCACGGCUAGAGUGUGUCAGAGGGGGGGUAGAAUUCCACGUGUAGCAGUGAAAAUGCGUAGAUAUGUGGAGGAAUACCGAUGGCGAAGGCAGCCCCCCUGGGAUAACACUGAACGCCUCAUGCACGAAAAGCCGUGGGGGAGCAAAACAGGG
rnacentral:rRNA from 1 species